CCUACGGGAGGCAGCAGUGGGGGAUAUUGCACAAUGGAGGAAACUCUGAUGCAGCGACGCCGCGUGAGGGAAGACGGUCUUCGGAUUGUAAACCUCUGUCUUUGGGGAAGAAGAUGACGGUACUCAAAGAGUAAGCUCUGGCAAUUUACGUUCCAGCAGCCGCGGUAAUACGCAGGGAGCGAGCGUGGUCCGGAAUUACUGGGGGAAAGGGGAGCGUAGGCGGGCGAGAAAGUUGGUUGGAAAACCUACGGGCUAAACUGGUAGCUGCGUUCAAAACUUGUUGGCUUGAGUGAAGUAGAGGGAGGCGGAAUUCCUAGUGUAGCGGUGAAAUGCGUAGAGAUUAGGAGGAACACCGAUGGCGAAGGCAGCCUGCUGGGCUUUAACUGACGCUGAUGCUCGAAAGCGUGGGGAGCAAACAGGAUUAGAUACCCCGGUAGUC
rnacentral:rRNA from 1 species